UAUGUACUGCUAACACAAUGAAAGCUGAGGCGUUACAUGAUAGUUCAAAAUUAUCAGAUUUUUAUAACUGCAAGAAGUUCCCGAAGAUGCUGUUAAUGUCCUAAAAGGGUAAAGGCAAAGCAAGUAUUUUAGCAUCAGGUUGUUAUUUGAAAAAAAAAAAAAAAAAAAAAAAAAAAAUCCAAAUUCUGCACUUCUAAUAUUUGCUAAAUGGAAUAGAAGACAUGGAAUCUCUUGGACCAGCUCAGAAUAAACAGCCCAUUAUAGUGUGUAUUACAAGUUCAUUCUAUAUUAAAGCAGUAAAUCACUUAAAAGCAUGCCCAAAUCAUGCCAUGAAGGCAUUUGACAUUCUAUUUAAAACUAAUUUUGUAUUUAGCGUUCAAUAUGCACAUACAUCAACAAAUUUUUAUAAUUUUGUGGCAAGCCUUUUGUAUAAUGUCAGCACUCCUAGAGCUUGUGUGGACUCUUUAAAUACAUGUUCGAGUCUGAAUUUAUUGCAUUUUGUACAUGCAUUACAUUUCAUAUUUUUAAUGUCAUUUUAGUGUCAUAUUUUCCAUUUUUAUAUAUGUAUAUAUGUACAUAUAUUUCCUAAUAAAGAGUUUUUCAUGCAA
rnacentral:lncRNA from 1 species